rnacentral:rRNA from 1 species
GACGUAGGGUGCGAGCGUUGUCCGGAUUUAUUGGGCGUAAAGAGCUCGUAGGCGGCUCGUCGCGUCGACCGUGAAAACCCGCGGCUUAACUGCGGGCUUGCGGUUGAUACGGGCGGGCUAGAGUUCGGCAGGGGAGACUGGAAUUCCUGGUGUAGCGGUGAAAUGCGCAGAUAUCAGGAGGAACACCGGUGGCGAAGGCGGCCCCCUGGUUGGAUACUGACGCUGAUACGCGAAAGCGUGGGGAGCAAACAGG